rnacentral:lncRNA from 1 species
CGCUACUGGCAUACCCUGGGGUCAAUAGUGAGGCCAGUACUAUUUAACAUCUUCGUUAAUGACCUGGAUGAUAGGAGAGAGUGUGCCCUCAGCAAGUUUGCAGAUGAUACAAGACUAGGAGGUGUGGCUGAUACACCAGAGGGCUGUGCUGCCGUUCAGAGGGACUUUGACACGCUGGAGGAAUGGACCAACAGGAACCCCAUGAAGUUCAACAAAGGCAAGUAUUUGUACAAGCAAGUGAAGCCUGGCUAAGUUGGAGGCAAAAAAAAAAAAGUAAAGGACAGUCUGAAAAACACUACCAGAAAUGAGCAAGCUGCUACUACUGCUGUCCGAAGGGAAACUCAGAGCGACACUGAAGAUUCCUCGAGGCCUGUCUGAAAGUUGCGCUGCAUUACCUUGGACUACUUUGCAGACUGUUUCUGCAAAGUGUCUCCGGUUGUGUGACUGCCUAAACGACUGUUACAGCAGAGAGAUGUUGACACUGUCCUAUUUAGGACAUGGAAAAAAAAUGAUGGCUGUGACAGAAAGGACAAGCUUCUCUCAAGUCUUUGCUAAGAAUGAGUUUUUCUUAUCCUUAGGCAGAAUGGGUUUACUCUGGCCUCAAGACUGUUCUCAGUCGUCCCUACAAGCUAUUCAAGAGAGCAAAAGGAACGUCCUCUUUGACUGGAACAAAAGGAGAAGCAUAGAUGUGCGUUUGAGGCCCACCCCUACUGGAUGGGAAGACGAGUCGCAAAGCGGCAUCUGCGUUGGGUCCAGCAUUUCUGACACCAAUGACUCUGUUGCGCUUAAUGUCUUUUUCUGGAUGAUGUAGAAAUUCCUGUGCUAACAAGAAUUUUAUUCAGGUACGUGAUUCUGAUAAGGUGGGUCUGCGAGCAAAACUUAGACAAACAUUUGAUUUUGGACUGUUGUGGGGAAUAAGUACUGACCUAGAUUGGCAGUUAGUCUGACCAGCUGUGCAGAUCCUAACGUCUUGGAGGUGAGUUGAGGAGAAG